rnacentral:rRNA from 1 species
AGUGAACGCUGGCGGUAGGCCUAACACAUGCAAGUCGAACGGCAGCACAGGAGAGCUUGCUCUCUGGGUGGCGAGUGGCGGACGGGUGAGGAAUACAUCGGAAUCUACUUUUUCGUGGGGGAUAACGUAGGGAAACUUACGCUAAUACCGCAUACGACCUACGGGUGAAAGCAGGGGAUCUUCGGACCUUGCGCGAUUGAAUGAGCCGAUGUCGGAUUAGCUAGUUGGCGGGGUAAAGGCCCACCAAGGCGACGAUCCGUAGCUGGUCUGAGAGGAUGAUCAGCCACACUGGAACUGAGACACGGUCCAGAGUCCUACGGGAGGCAGCAGUGGGGAAUAUUGGAUAAUGGGCGCAAGCCUGAUCCAGCCAUGACGCGUGGGUGAAGAAGGCCUUCGGGUUGUAAAGCCCUUUUGUUGGGAAAGAAAUCCAGCUGGCUAAUACCCGGUUUGGAUGACGGUACCCAAAGAAUAAGCACCGGCUAACUUCGUGCCAGCAGCCGCAGUAAAAC